UGGAGGCAGGGCCAGGGGAAUAUUGGACAAUGGGCGAAAGCCUGAUCCAGCCAUGCCGCGUGUGUGAAGAAGGUCUUCGGAUUGUAAAGCACUUUAAGUUGGGAGGAAGGGCAGUAAGCUAAUACCUUGCUGUUUUGACGUUACCGACAGAAUAAGCACCGGCUAACUCUGUGCCAGCAGCCGCGGUAAUACAGAGGGUGCAAGCGUUAAUCGGAAUUACUGGGCGUAAAGCGCGCGUAGGUGGUUUGUUAAGUUGGAUGUGAAAGCCCCGGGCUCAACCUGGGAACUGCAUCCAAAACUGGCAAGCUAGAGUACGGUAGAGGGUGGUGGAAUUUCCUGUGUAGCGGUGAAAUGCGUAGAUAUAGGAAGGAACACCAGUGGCGAAGGCGACCACCUGGACUGAUACUGACACUGAGUCGAAAGAAGC
rnacentral:rRNA from 1 species